rnacentral:rRNA from 1 species
CCCUUAGAUGUCCUGGGCCGCACGCGCGCUACACUGAUCGGUGCAACAAGCAUCCGUCCUUGGCCGACAGGCCCGGGCAAUCUUUGAACGCCGGUCGUGAUGGGGAUAGACCUUUGCAAUUUUUGGUCUUCAACGAGGAAUUCCUAGUAAACGCAAGUCAUCAACUUGCAUUGAUUACGUCCCUGCCCUUUGUACACACCGCCCGUCGCACCUACCGAUUGAAUGGUCCGGUGAAACCUCCGGAUUGGCGCGUGCCCUCGGGCGCCGCCGAGAAGUUGGUUAAACCUUACCAUUUAGAGGAAGGUGAAGUCGUAACA